UUUAAUCCAGAACUUUUGAACUUUCAAAAAUAGUCUCUGUUUCUUCAAUUCAUCUCUAUUCCCUCUUUUCUCCAUUGCCGUCAGCACAAAUAAAAGCUUCAAGAUUCGUCUCAGGCGCCAGCUCCGCGACCCCAACCAGGGUUUCGCCAUGUCUGUUAACCCUACUACGAAUGAAGACCCCUCGGAGAACCUCGACCUUAACUCCGACGCUGCCCCACUCUCAGAGCAGGACAAGAUUUGUAGCGCUAGGGUUACGGAAUCUACAUUCACUGUCACUGCCUCCGUGGUUGAAACCCUAACGGAAGAUCACUCUAACGGUAAUGGACAGGCCGAAGGUCCUCCUCCCGAAGGAGGAAGCAACGGGCUUGGAGCUUGUGGUGAAGGAGAGAAUCUGGUAGAGCCAUUGCUUCAAGCCUCUGAGGCUCGUCACGAGGGAACGAACUCUCAUGGGGCAGAAGAAUAUAUGAAAGAAGCAGCAUCUCCUGUUAUUUUGCUCAAGGAGACUAUAACGGAAACAACUGUUGAAAAAAUCCAAGUUGAAACCCUAACGGAGGAGCCCUCGGACGGUCAGGUUCCGGUCGAGGACUCCCAUCACGAAGGAAAAUUCAACGGCCAUGGUGUCUGUGGCGAAGAAGGGAAUGCGGUACAAGCAUUGGCCAUGGGUUCUGAUGUUUGUGUUGAUGGGAAGGACAUUCAUGGGGCAGAUGAUAGUUUGAAUGAAGAGGUGGGACACUCUGGUCCGGUCAAUGAGGAUUUGGAGAAAGAAAUGAAAUCUGUAGAUGCAGGCAUUGAUCAAGAAGAAAAUGUUAAUUCGAAUGAAAAGGUGGGUACUACUAAUUCUGUCAAGGAGGAUUUAGAGAGAGAAAUGAAAUCUGUAACUGCAGUCAUUGACCAAGAAGGAGAUGGUAAGUGUAGUCCUUUUGAUGCUGAAGUGGGAAAGAUGGAACCGACUGUUGAACAAAUCCAGUCCGUGGAUGAAGGGACAGAGCCAGUAGUCAAAAACCCAGACUUUUUUGAACCCAAAGACAGCGACCUGGAGAGAAAUCCAAGCUUGGAGCUUGAGGGAUACAGAGAAGAGAAGAAUGUUAGAGAUGCAGAUCCUUUGGUAAGUUUUAAAUCCUUUAUGAGUGCUGAUGAUAAUAGACCUCCCCCUGGGAGGAGCUCGGGUAGUUGUGAAGAGAGUAGUUCUAUGCAAGAUAACUUACUAGAUACAGAUGAUCAAGUUGCUCCAAGCAAACUUUCUGAGGUUGGUGGAUCUCAAGCAGUAGUUUCUGAUGCUUCACUGCAUGGUAAGGUUGAAGUUGAUUUUGAUCAAGUUACUGACCCUGGUGAACCCUGGCCAGAGGGGAACCUGCAAACUGAGGCUCAGCUAGCUGGUGUCUGCAUUUCUACUCUCGAAGACCAAAGUGUUUGCCAACCUUUCUCUGAGCAGGGAUCUCAUGUAAUGGAAAAUCAGGCAAUGGAAGUGGAAGUUGAGACUCAAGUAGUAGUUGGUUCUAGCAUCCAGGAUGAAAAUCAAAAAAUAGAGAUUGCUGGACAAGGUACAAGUGUUGAACAACAGGAAAAAAUGGAGGAGACUGCUCCAAAUCAGCAAGGUUUAAAUCAUGGAAACACCUCCAUUGAGGAUAACUGUACUGUUUAUGACUCACCACCAGAAGAAGAUGGUGUUUUUUCUGUUUCUGACUUGGUUUGGGGCAAAGUGAAGAGUCAUCCCUGGUGGCCUGGACAGAUAUUUGAUCCUUCAGAUUCAUCAGAGAAAGCAAUGAAAUAUCGCAAAAAGGAUAGCUUUCUGGUAGCCUAUUUUGGGGAUCAAACUUUUGCUUGGAAUGAGGCAUCAUUAUUGAAGCACUUCCACACACAUUUCUCAGAAAUGGAGACGCAGAAUAAUUCAGUGGCAUUCCGUACUGCAGUCAACUCUGCUUUGGAUGAGGUUUCCAGACGGGUGGAGUUGGGGAUGGCCUGUUCCUGUACAUCGGAAGAAGUAUAUGCAAAGAUCAAAUCACAAAUAAUUGAAAAUGCUGGGAUUCGGGAAGAGUCAAGCAAAAGAGGUGGUGUGGAUAGAUUUCUGAGUGCAAGCUCCUUUGAACCUCAGAAACUCGUGGAGUAUAUCAGAGCAUUAGCUCUUAGCCCAUUGGGUGGAGUUGAUAGAUUGGAACUUGUGAUAGCUCAGGCUCAAUUGUUAGCUCUCUGUCGUUUAAAGGGCUUUACCAGGUUGCCUGAGUUCCAGUUGUGUGGAAGGCUGUUGGAGAAUGAUACAGAGUCAUUGCUUGCUGGGGAGAGCAAGCAUUCUGAAGAAGUGGCUCAGCAUUUGACUCCAGUUUAUUUUAACGAUGAAGAGAACAUGUUUUCUGGAAAAGGAAAGCUGUCAAGUCAAGGUAACUCUUCUCGUAAACGCAGGAACAUUUCACAGGAAAGGCCAUAUCAUAGAAAGAAAGAACGGAGCUUGUCAGAGUUGAUGGAUGGGAAGGAGGAUUCUUCAAAUGUUGUAAUUGAUGGAAAUGAGUCUGAUAGGAAGUCUGCCUCCAAGUUGGCUCUGUCGUCUUCUGGCAAGAAACGUAAGGCCUUUGACUCUCCUUCUGACAAUUUAAGGGUAGAGAAUGGGAAAAGAAAUCUUUCCUCACCCAGAGCUGCUGCUGCCGAGACCCCAAAUCAUAAACAAUCUUUUAAAAUUGGGGACUGCAUCCGCAGAGUUGCAAGCAAAUUGACUGGGUCACCGCCGAUCCUCAAGUGUAACAGUCAAAGUCUUAGAAAAAGUGCAGUUAAAGUAGGUCAAAACACUGAGAAACCUGAUAGAAUUGGUAUUAGUGUCUCUCCCCGUACUCCUGAGUUGCCCAAAAAGGGAGGGGUUAAUCGAACUGAAUAUCCUUCUACAGGUGAAAUGCUAUCUCAGCUUUUCUUGGCCGCACGAGAUCCUGUAAAAGGAUAUAGUUUUCUGACUGUAAUAGUUAGUUUCUUUUCAGAUUAUAGGAAUUCAGUAAUCAUUUAUAAGCGUGGGUCAGGAAAACACAAGAAGUCCUCAGAGAAAGUGAGUAGUGGUAGAACAGAUGAUAGAAAUAAAGAACCACCUACCUCUGAUGCUGAUUCUGCUGAAGCAUUUGAUUUUGAUGAAGAUGUGAAAGACUCUUAUUGGACUGACAGGAUUGUUCAUAUUAGUACUGAGGAGCAACCAUCAAAGAAGGGCCGAAGGAGAAAAGGAGCUCAGAUUGAAAACCUCACAAAGAGUGACAUGUUAAUUGCUGAAUCAGAAAAUUCUCUUCAGUUGAGCCCUAUGUUAGACCCUAAACAACAGAGUUCUGAUGGCUUCUAUGAAUUAACAAUGGACAAACCACUGGAAAUUGUGGAGGCAAAGUAUGAGGAAGAAUUCUCCCCAACAGCAUUAAUACUAAACUUUACUGAGGUUGAUUCCAUCCCUUCAGAAAUGAGUCUGAAUAAGAUAUUUAAACGCUUUGGGCCUUUGAAGGAAUCAGAAACAGAGGUACUAAGGGAAACAAGCUGUGCACAGGUGGUCUUUAAGAGGUGUGCUGAUGCAGAAGUUGCUUGUAGUAGUGCUGGGAAGUUCGGCAUCUUUGGACCUGUAUUUGUUAGCUAUCAGCUUAGGUAUUUGUCAUCAUCACCUGCUAAAACUCCAGUCAGUACCACAAGACGGUGUAGAAGAGCUGCAAUAUCCACUGGAGGCAACCAAACUUGAUUUUUCCAUUAUAGGAAAAGAAAUGACGUGUGGUGCUCAAAGAACGGUGUCAGUUCCCAUGCAAAAUAUGAAACAUUGAAGACAUUGGCAGGGAGUUGCAUAAAUUUUCUUCGCCAUAGAUGGAUUCAAAUUCAUGCUUCAGAUGGGGUAAAUUGAUAAUCAUUUUGGAUGCCUGGAUUGAUAGAGAAGGUUCCUAUUACAUGUGUGGUGUACACUGUUCUUCAGAUUUCAGAGAAGAGGCAAAGGUGUACUGUGUACAUGGAAGAAUUUACCACCCCUUUCUUAUCGAUUCAAAAGUGUACAUUCCCAACAGCCAGUCUUUCUGUGCUAACCAUCAUCCAUGGAGAUUAUCUUUGAAUCCAUCUGAAUUGCACAUUUGAUGGAAGAAAAAGCUACCCAAACUUCACUGAGAUAUUUAGUCUUCUCUGUCCUAACACCAGAUGAUGACAUUUGCAGAAUCCUGUUUGAGAGAGCGAGAGAGAGAGAAUGCUCUGAAGCUUUUAAGUUCACUUGUAAAGAGUCAAUGCUUCAACUGUAGACCUGUAGGCUGUAGUGGAAUCAGAAUCAGAAUCGCCAAUGGACCACUAAAAGCUAAAAUGAUACUUCAGUCCGAUUGGUAAAAAUCUGGAAAGUCGAAGAUAGGUUUACAUGAGCUAAAAAGAUUGGCUUGUUGGGGGUAAAAGCUAUCGUUGGUAGUUUCUUCAGAACAAAUCCAUGGAUUUGUUUCUGACACCACUGCGAAUAAAUGAAAGAAAGAACGAGAUGGUUGUCUCAACAAUACGAAGAAUUAUUAAGAACCGAACGUCUGAGCCUAUGAUUUAACGAAAAGGAGCGAUAAAGUGGUCUUCCAGUAUAUCUCCAUUUGAUCGAGCAUAUUAAAUAAAUAUAAGCACCAAAAGGUUCAGUCCCACUUACAUUUUGUGAAAAAGUGAUUGCAAGCUAGGCUUUAUCCAAUGAUGCGUUCAUUUAUCCUGUGAUGCCAAAGUCUAAUGAUUUGCCCAUGCGAAAAGUGUUGGCAAUGCUUUUUCCAUUGAUCUGUGGACACGGAGACGGAAUGUUGCGCACAGCAUCUCGACCAACGCAAAUGUUCAAAUAAUUUUUAGGGUAAAUUUCUCAAAUCCCCCUUAUGGUUCUGUACUCUGUUUGAAAAUUGAUAUGCUACCUUUAUUGUUUUCGACAAUGGACUAACUUUACCUUAAUGUUAGCAUCCGUUAAUAUUCCAUUAAAAC